rnacentral:rRNA from 1 species
ACUGGCCGGCGCCUGCCGAUCAACCAAACUUUUUUCCAGGUUGACCUCGGAUCAGGU